UGUUAAAAAUUUUAACUAUUUGUAAUAUUAAAAAUUGAUUUGGUUGACGAAAUAAUCAUAUAGUGACACGUGACAUACCAUGUGUACAUUAUAUUAACGGAUAAGGAUCAAAUUUUAAUAGUAGAAAUAAAUAUAAUUUUUAAUA
rnacentral:pre_miRNA from 1 species